UACGGAGGGUGCAAGCGUUAUCCGGAUUCACUGGGUUUAAAGGGUGCGUAGGAGGGCAGGUAAGUCAGUGGUGAAAUCUCCAAGCUUAACUUGGAACUGCCGUUGAUACUAUCUGUCUUGAAUAUUGUGGAGGUGAGCGGAAUAUGUCAUGUAGCGGUGAAAUGACUUAGAUAUGACAUAGAACACCAAAUUGCGAAGGCAGCUCGCUACACAUAUAUUGACUCUGAGGCACGAAAGCGUGGGAUCAAACAGG
rnacentral:rRNA from 1 species